UAACAAAUGUAUCAAUUUUUGUAACAAAUGUAUUGCAUUUGUUAAAUGUAUCAAUUGUAACAAAUGUAUCGACUGCUGGGGGAUUAACAUACAAUUAACACAUUUGUUACAGUUGACAAACAUACAUUGGCAUCAUUAUCACCAAAGACCAUAUUUUACAUUAGGGUUCACUCUUGGUGUUGUUUAUUCUGUGAGUUUGGACAAAUGUAUCAUGACAUAUAUCCACCACUAUAGAAUCAUACAAAGUAUUUUCACUGCCCUAAAAAUCUCCCGUGUCCACCUGUUCAUCCCUCCCCUCUGGCACCUUCCUUAAAAAAAAAAACAAAAAUACAACCAAAAAAAUGGCGUAUAGUGGAGACUUCCAUAUCAGUAUAUAGAGAGUUUCCUGGUAUUUCAUGGUAUGGAUGGAUCAUAAUAUCUAACCAGCCCAUAUAAUUGGACAUUCGAAAUAUUCCUGAUAUUCUGCUGUUAUACAUAAUUCUAUAAUAUGUACAUAUGUCAUUUCUGUCCAUGUGCAAAUAUAUUUGCAGGAAAAAUUCUGAGAGUAGGACUGAUGAAUCAAGGGGAAAAUAGAUUAUCAGUAACAUCAAUAGAAAAUAUCAAAUUGCCCUUCAUAAGGAUGUACCAUGUUGCACUCCUACCAGCAAAGAAUGAGGGUAUCUCUUUCCCUACAACAUUAGCAAGUUGCUUCUGGUUUUUCAAUAUUCCAAACAGUGCAUCGGUGAAUAAAAUCCUGGCACACAUGCAUUUGUGUGUAUAGUGAAUCAAUCCUGUCCUUUCCAUUUUUAUACAUGGAAUUUCUGGGUCAAAGAUAUGUGCCUCCUUAGGCUUUUUUCAUACAUAUUGCCAAAAUGCCUUUAUACCAGUUUACACCCCCUCCAACCAUGUGUGAGUGCAGAUUCCCCUACCCAUGCCAACUCUCAGUAUAAUAAUUCUUUUUAAUCAUUGCCAAUCUGAUCAGCAAAAAAAGGUCUCUUAUUGCCGUUUUAAUUUGCCUUUCUUUGAAUGUUAGUGAGGCUGAAUAUUUUUUCAAUUUAUGGUGGGUUUUGAUGUACAGAAGUUUUUAAUUUUUUUUGUAGUCAAAUCUAUUAAUCUUUUCCUCUAUGGUCUCUGCUUUUGUUGACAUGUUUAGAAAGUCCUUCCCCAUCCUAAGAUUAUAAAAUAUUCACUCAUAUUUUCUUCUAGUACCUUUACGAUUUCAUUUCCAUCUUUAUCCAUCUGGUAUUCAUUUUGAUGAAUGGUGUGAGCUGGGAAAUAACGUGUAUUAUUUAUUUAUUUAUUUCCUGUAUGGGUACUCAAUUCUUUCAUCACUGUUAAAAAGCACAUAUUUGUGUGUGUGUGUGUGUGUGUGUAACUAUUCCUAAAGUGAACAUCUUGAACAGCUGGACACUGAAGGGAACGCAGCUCUACACUUUGGGUCAUCAUUAGAAAUAUUAGCUUAGCAGGCAGAUGUGGCACUUUCUAACAGAUGUGAGCUUAUGAGUCAAAUGGAUUGACAUUUGACAUUCAAAUCCUAGCUUUGUAGCUCACUGCUGGUGCAACUUUGAGCAAACCAAUGAUCCUCCCUGAGUCUUGGUUUCUUCACCUAUAAAAUGGGAUAAUAAUAUGUAUAGGACUGUAAUGAGAAUUAAAUGAGCUAAUGUUUGUAGCGACUGUCUACACAUGCCUUUCACAUCAUGGACAGUCAAUAUUUAUCACUUGCCCUUUACACUGCAACCAUCAUGCUCCCUUCUCCCCAUCAAGUGAGCCCUCAGGCCUUGACUGUAAAUAAGAUAUGCUGGAGUGGGGAGAGGUUGGAUGCUGUGCUUGCUUUUUAUAGGUUUUCUAUCUUUACCCUGUGAUCAGACUUCCAUGUGUUAUGUCUUGCUGCUUUUAGUGUCUUUUCAUUAGCAGCCUUUCUCUCCCCUUCUAAAAGUACUGCUUUUAAUCUUAUAACAGCUAGAAAACCAGACAACAGGAUUGUUCGAAGUAUAUAUAAAUUAAGAGUAACUGGGAUCUGAGUGAGAGCCCGAGGGCCUCUCCUAUUGUAUAACGUGGUGGUUCUGGGCUCUGGCUGUAUGUUAGAAUCACCUGGGGAGCUUUGAAAACAUAUCCAUGCCUGGGUCCUACUCCAGACCAAUUAAAUCAGAACCUCUGGUGGUGGGGCCCAGGCAUGGGUGUGUUUAAAAACUCUGCGGGUGAUUCUAAUGUGCACGCAGGGCUGAGAACCAUUGCUUGUGUGCACAGGCUUUGUGAGAUCCACAUUUACUGCUGAGAGGUUUUUCCCUCUGGUUCUCUCCCAAAGCGUGCCUCAAGUUGGGGCGGCAGCUCUGUGGAGCAGAAGGCCAGAUGGUGGAGGUAUCAGCGAUGUUUAGGCUGCUGCUGUGCUUGCUAAAGUGAACAGCCCCAACACUCAGGUCUGUGUAAGAGCACGUUCCUCAGGGCUUUCGGAGAUGAUGUCAGUUUGUCUUUAAGAUGGAGCUGUUUUAGUCCCCGUCCUGAUGCAGCUUCCCCUACCUCUAGAGGAUCCCUGGGACCAUGCUGACUUUGACUCCUGAGGAGAGUGGGAGAUAAUGAGAAAUAAAUCUUCAGAAAACACC